CCCUGGUGGCGAGUGGCGAACGGGUGAGUAAUACAUCGGAACGUGCCCAGUCGUGGGGGAUAACGUAGCGAAAGUUACGCUAAUACCGCAUACGAUCUACGGAUGAAAGCGGGGGACCGUAAGGCCUCGCGCGAUUGGAGCGGCCGAUGUCAGAUUAGGUAGUUGGUGAGGUAAAGGCUCACCAAGCCGACGAUCUGUAGCUGGUCUGAGAGGACGACCAGCCACACUGGGACUGAGACACGGCCCAGACUCCUACGGGAGGCAGCAGUGGGGAAUUUUGGACAAUGGGCGCAAGCCUGAUCCAGCCAUUCCGCGUGCAGGACGAAGGCCUUCGGGUUGUAAACUGCUUUUGUACGGAACGAAAAGGCUCUGGUUAAUACCUGGGGCUCAUGACGGUACCGUAAGAAUAAGCACCGGCUAACUACGUGCCAGCAGCCGCGGUAAUACGUAGGGUGCAAGCGUUAAUCGGAAUUACUGGGCGUAAAGCGUGCG
rnacentral:rRNA from 1 species